rnacentral:lncRNA from 1 species
UUACAUUAUCUCAAGACUUUGCAAUUUCAAGACUUAAACACAAAGAUAUUACAUAAUCUUGGAUAGGGGUGGAAUCAGAAAAAAUGAAGCAAAAGUGUGACAUGGGGGGUCCAAUUUCAAACUUAAUAUUUUGUAUUUCUUUUUGUCUUGCCCUAUUACCAAUACUUUAAAUUUUAUAAUUCCAAAGUUUCAGGCCGAACGAAACAGACACAUUGAAUAAUCUUAAAUUUUAAUAGCAUACAUCUCAAAAAUAUUUAACAGAAACCAUACUACUUAAAAACAAG